AAUAGAUACCCUGGUAGUCCACGCCGUAAACGAUGAGUGCUAAGUGUUAGAGGGUUUCCGCCCUUUAGUGCUGCAGCUAACGCAUUAAGCACUCCGCCUGGGGGAGUACGGUCGCAAGACUGAAACUCAAAGGAAUUGGACGGGGGGCCCGCACAAGCGGUGGAGCAUGUGGUUUAAUUCGAAGCAACGCGAAGAACCUUACCAGGUCUUGACAUCCUCUGACAACUCUAGAGAUAGAGCGUUCCCCUUCGGGGGGACAGAGUGACAGGUGGUGCAUGGUUGUCGUCAGCUCGUGUCGUGAGAUGUUGGGUUAAGUCCCGCAACGAGCGCAACCCUUGAUCUUAGUUGCCAGCAUUCAGUUGGGCACUCUAAGGUGACUGCCGGUGACAAACCGGGAGGAAGGUGGGGAUGACGUCAAAUCAUCAUGCCCCUUAUGACCUGGGGCUACACACGUGCUACAAUGGAUGGUACAAAGGGCCGCAGACCGCGAGGUCAAGCCAAUCCCAUAAAACCAUUCUCAGUUCGGAUUGUA
rnacentral:rRNA from 1 species